GACGAACGCUGGCGGCGUGCCUAACACAUGCAAGUCGAGCGGGGAUUUAAGUGGAAGUUCUUCGGAAUGGAGAUUUAAAUUCUAGCGGCGGACGGGUGAGUAACGCGUGAACACUCUGUCCCGGACAGGGGGAUAACACUUGGAAACAGGUGCUAAUACCGCAUAAGACCACGGCCUCGCAUGGGGCUGAGGUAAAAGGAGCAAUCCGGUUCGGGGUGAGUUCGCGUCCGGUUAGCUAGUUGGGGAGGUAACGGCCCACCAAGGCGACGAUCGGUAGCCGGCCUGAGAGGGUGAACGGCCACAUUGGAACUGAGAGACGGUCCAAACGCCUACGGGAGGCAGCAGGGGGGAAUAUUGGGCAAUGGGCGAAAGCCUGACCCAGCAACGCCGCGUGAGGGAAGAAGGUUUUCGGAUUGUAAACCUCUGUCCUAUGGGACGAAGGAAGUGACGGUACCAGAGGAGGAAGCCCCGGCUAACUACGUG
rnacentral:rRNA from 1 species